UUUGGGGUAAAUAAAAAUAAAAAUAUUUUGAUUUAAAUUGAUCUUAACUAAACUAAAUGAAAAAGGUACUCUAGGGAUAACAGCGUUAUAAUCAUUAAAGCCCUUAUUAAAAUGAUUGUUUGCGACCUCGAUG
rnacentral:rRNA from 1 species